GACGAACGCUGGCGGCGUGCUUAACACAUGCAAGUCGAACGGUGAAGGGGCCUGCUUUUGUGGGCCCUGGAUGAGUGGCGAACGGGUGAGUAACACGUGAGUAACCUGCCCCCUUCUUCUGGAUAACCGCAUGAAAGUGUGGCUAAUACGGGAUAUUCUGGGUCUGUCGCAUGAUGGGUCUGGGAAAGAUUGCGCCUUUGGGUGUUUUUGGUGGGGGAUGGGCUCGCGGCCUAUCAGCUUGUUGGUGGGGUGAUGGCCUACCAAGGCGGUGACGGGUAGCCGGCCUGAGAGGGUGGACGGUCACACUGGGACUGAGACACGGCCCAGACUCCUACGGGAGGCAGCAGUGGGGAAUAUUGCACAAUGGGCGCAAGCCUGAUGCAGCGACGCCGCGUGAGGGAUGGAGGCCUUCGGGCUGUAAACCUCUUUCGCCAGUGAAGCAGGCCUGCUCCUUGUGGGUGGGUUGACGGUAGCUGGAUAAGAAGCGCCGGCUAACUACGUG
rnacentral:rRNA from 1 species